UUUUCCCUCUCGUCUCACUUUCCCCCAACCCCAAAUGAUCACAAACCAAACAUGGUUUCUCCGACUCCAAAUCCCUAGCGACUACCCAUGGCCUCCACUUCGGCUUCGCGGUCCACCGGCGUCACCAGAAGAAUCCGAGCUGCAGCUUCGACACUGUAGUCACACAAUCAGUCCCUCAUCGCUGUGAAAGAGCUUGAAAAUGCAGCUGUUGAGUUGUUGGCUACGUAUGAAGACUGUACACAUUUUUCAUCAGCAAUUCAUUCUGUUGGAGAUGGGUGCCAGCCUGGAGGAGAGUUCACCAAUUUUAAGAAGUUCAGGAUGAGAUUGCGAAGCUCAAGGCUAGUUCAUCUUCAGUUCCACAAAACCAUCCUAUAAUAUGCCAAUUUAUAGAAGCUAUCUAGUGACUUUUGGGAGCACCAUAGAAUUGAUAGCUUCGUGGUUUCAAACUUUUAGGAGUGGCGGAAUUAGGUAAGACUUUAAGGGACUAAUGUCCCCUAAAAAGUUUUAAAAUUACUUUUAAAUUUUAUGCUUUUUAUGUAGUAUCCCCUCCAAAAGUACCAAUGUCUCUUCAAAAUUUUUAAAUUAUCUCUCCCACACUUUAAUGUCUAUUUCCGCCCCUGGUUUUAGUGAUUAAAGUAAGUCAAUGAUGAUUAUAAAUGUAUUUAGUCGAAGAGGUCAUGUUUACAUUGUGGAAUCAAUUAUGCUCAUGGAAAUAAAUGUAUCAAGGAUUACUCACAAGUUUGAAAGAAGAAAUUGCCUGAAAUUUUGUGAUCAUGAUUGACAGACUUUUUCUUUUUUGAUGGUGGGAUCUUCUUUAUAUAUAUAUAUAUGUAAUCUCACUUGAACUCGCACUAAUCCCCUUUACCUCGACCAUCAUACAGUCAUCAUGGAGAAAACUUGUUUCCUAUUUCCCCUUUGUGUGUCACCUUUGAUCAUGUUGCAAUUUUACAUGGCAAGCUUAGUUAUUGCAACUGUUCCCUACUUUACCAUUGAUCAAUAUGCUAUUUUUGCCUUAAAGGCUCAAAUUUCUUAUGACCCGCACAAUGUUUUGACAAACAAUUGGUCCACCAACUUCUCUAUUUGCAACUGGGUCGGUAUCACUUGUGGUUCCAGCCAUAAUCGAGUCAUUACAUUCAAUCUUUCUUACAUGGGAUCUUAUAGGCACCAUUCCUCCACACAUGGGAAACUUUUCAUUUCUUUUUAGUCUAAACAUUGAAAACAAAAGUUUUCAUGGUUCUAUUCCCAAUGAGUUGUCUCAUCUUUAUCGGAUGCAAUACUUAUCCUUCGGAUUCAAUAACUUCAGAGGAAAAAUCCCUUUGUGUAUUGGGCUAUUGUCCAAACUUCAAAAUUUGUUUCUAUUUGGUAACAGAUUCUCGAGGACUAUUCCACCAUCUCUAUCUAAUAUAUCUUUGUUGCAAAUAAUUGAUCUUAGUUAUAACCAACUUUCGGGCUCCAUUCCAUUCUCAAUCUUCAACAUGUACAUCUUGCAAGAAAUUGAUCUUAGAGACAACAUGCUUUUUGGUCCGAUGCCAUCCAUUAUUUCCAACAUGUCAUCAUUGCAAGUCAUUAACCUAGGAGCUAAUAAGCUUUAUGGUCCUUUACCUAUGGAUAUGUUUGAUUAUCUUCCCAACUUACAAGAGCUUGGAAUAUCUAAUAAUUAGAUUUAUGGCCAACUCAUAUUCACUUUGUUCAAGUGCAAACAACUACAAUAUUUAUCACUGGCAAAUAAUGAUUUCAUUGGAAGUGUACCUUUGGAAAUUGGGGACUUAACCAUGCUCACAGAGUUAUACGUUGACAACAACAUCUUUGGAGGUAUGUUUAGUAUUCUUUUAGUUUUUAGUCAGUUGCAAGUUUGAGUAUUUGUUUCCAAAUGGUAACUGUUUUGUAAGUACUAUUCCAUCCACUUUGUUCAAGUGCAAACAAUUGCAAAUAUUAUCUUCGUCCAAUAAUAAAUUUACAGGAAGAGUACCUCAAGGAAUUGGAAACUUAACUAUGCUCAAAGUGUUAGGCCUUUCCCUCAACAAUUUUGGAGGUAUGUUUUGA